AACCUGCUUGUCUUGGCUUUCCAGCAGGCAGACGUCCAGGGACAUGCGGCCGGAAGAACCGGAUUUCAGCCCGGCUGAGUCACCACAGCAGCCGCCUUGUGAUGGAUGUAGCCCGCAGGGGGAUCCAGCCGCCUCGAAACAGGCCUCAAGGGACUGGAUAAGGCCUACCCACAUUGCUGAGGGUGGAUCUUGUUACUCAGCCUACUAAUGCAAAUGCUUAUCUCUUCUGGAAACAUCCUCACAGAUACACCCAGAAAUUAUGUUUAACCAGCUAUCUGGGCAUCCCUUGGUCCAGUCAAGUUGACACAUGAAAUUACCGAUCACAAACACUUCGUUGCUUCAUUGCUUAUCAAAUAAAGCAACUCUUCUAUUGUCUAUUAAUGUUAACUUCUGAGAGGGUGAGUCAAGUGCUAGCUAGUCAACUC
rnacentral:lncRNA from 1 species